rnacentral:lncRNA from 1 species
GUUUGGGGAGGGCCGCGUUGCUCGGAAAUGGUCCUUAAUAUGGGUCACUCGUGUGAUCGGGUCUAGGGAAGCGCCUGGUUUCCCUAGAAGUUCCCUCAGUGGCUCUCCUCGUGCACUUCUUAUUUGAGUGGUCCCGAAAAACGGCUUUUGUAAACGAGUCGCACUAGUAUGCUCUUAAGAUAUCCUCCUGAUUCCAGAUUAAAUUUUUUCAAUUCUCAGAUAAGAAAGAACAUGUAUAAGUGCCACGUCUGCAAGCUCACAUCAUGA